AUACCAUGAUGUGGACACGUAACCAACAGACCCUUGAACCUCUCCCACGUUUCUUGUAAUGUCUCUUUUGUUUCCUGCCUGAAGCUCAAUAUCUCAUCAAUUUGUUG
rnacentral:snoRNA from 1 species